CCAAGCAAAGAAGAACAAACUGUGUUCAGAAGCUUUCAUUACUACCAUAUAAUAAUAGUUCAUCACCAUUAAAAUUUGAACCGACCCAAAAAAUAAGCUAGUAGCUGUUGGCAUGAUUUUUUUAAAAAUAAAAUUUGAUGAGCAUUACUUUGAUGAAGUAUUGAAUAAAUCACAUUCCAUUAUUUGGAAACGUAGAACCUCCUUGAUAUGAGAGAGGGUUGCAAUUGCUAUAGCCAAGCAUGCAACUUGUUUAGAAGUGAUAAUUCUUGGUGAUAUACAAUGAAGGAGAAAGAUGCAAUGUUCCACGUAAUGUGAUAUCAUCAUAUCGUCAAUAUGGAUUCGUUUUUCUUUUAUCACAAAUGAUAUUCAGAUAAUUUUCCUUGUGCUCGUCAAAUAACACUAUCCAUAGUAUAGCACCCUUUCACUGGGCUCCACCUACAUCCAAUAUUCAGGAUCAGGUCUCCCUUUCAUCCAUCUUUACCUGCACAACUCGGAGAUCAUCAGAUAGCAACCACCUAUACGAGCUUUCAGACAGAUUCAUCAAACCAGACUGAGACAGACAUCGUACUAGUUAGGGAGUUACACCUAGCUGCUGGAAUACACCGGAAGGCAUUAGAAAAAAAGAUCAGGUUCAGGCCUUCAAACAAACGAACCCUACCAUGAAUCCUCAUCAACAAGAGCAAGGCUGCUCAACUAAAAGGCACGAAAUCCGGGUAGGUCCAUGGGGUUAUGGCCAUCGCUCCCAGUGAAGUCCUCUACCCAAUAAUACCACUUUGACCGGGGCUACAUCCUGGGUCCUUCGUCUCGGGGCUCAGGUGGAUCCCAGACUUUGAUCCCACACCCCCAUCCGAAGCAUUCCUUUAUUAGUGCACGGCUGUCACCUAUCAACCCAUGCAUCACAGUUGUUCUCAUCUUACCUGUAAUCUUUCUAAAAGGCUGCUCCUUGUCGAUCUUAAAUGGCUGCUUUUAUGCGUUAUGGUCAUCAUUGCAGACGGGCCAGAUAGAGAGGUGAGAGGGGGCUAAUGGAAUUCCAAUUGGACGUGAACAAGAUUCAAUCAAUUUGAGUCAAAGAGGAAUGGUUAACAAGGGGAUACUAAGGUUGGCUAAACUAAAAUCCCAUCCACAGAAUCCUCUCUAGUUAUUUAGAAUUCAAAUAUACAAUUAUGACAUGCGUGGUAACUGACUGACUAUCUGUUACAACAUAAUAAUAUACAUAAUGGACUUUGUUACCUGCGCAUGGAGCACCCAUCAAGAGAUUGACCCGAAGUCGUCCAAAACGCUGAGAGGAAGGGGCCUUUGAUGUAAAUCUGCUAAUUAGUCUUCUAUAAAAUUAAAUAGACUUAACCACUAAUUCUCCUAGAACAACUCUUUCGUGCGCAAAAUGAUAACCAAUUUCUAUAUGUUCUCUGUUCGUGCUUUAAAAACAGUGUACUGACCAGCUAAAUAGGUGGCCUUGAUGUUAUCACAAUGGUUGGCUUGUCUAGUAAGUUUAUGAAGCUGCGAAGACGUCUAGGGAGUGACAUUCAGCUUGAAUACUAGAAAUGAGAGAUCAUAGUUUAAGCAAUGAGGUGUUUGUUAUUGGAUGAUUUGAUUAAGUGAAGACUGUGAUUAAGGUGCCUUUCAAAUAACAGAACAUACUUUCAACAAGUUAAAGAUGGACAGUAGUUGGCUGGUGCACAAAUGGGCUGACCAUGUCGGUGGUGUUAGAAUGAGAUAGAUUAAGUUGUAUAUUUGAGUCAUCCUAUGAGUCAUUCUAGGAAUCAAUUUUUAUAUGGAGUGGGCUUAUGGCUGAGGAGUGGUGUGCUUGGGUUUUAAGAAUGUCUCCGCCAGAAGGACGUCCUCAUAGAAAUGUGGAGGAGAGCUACGUGAACAGUUAGUUUCGUUCUCGACUUCAGUAAUGGAGAACACUACCAUAGUGUCGUUUUAGUACUGCUUUAAUUUGAGCCUCAAACAAUUAACCUAGUAGCUUGGCUCUUGAUAUUGGUGAAUAAUCAAGGGUCUCCGGUCUCCUCAUCUCCUAGUCCAGUCCACUCAUGGAGUUUAUCAUCUCGCACUUUAUUAAUUAAUCUUGGGGAUAAUAAAUAUUACUCUGCCUAGUGAGUCUUGUAUACCUUUAUUAAUGAAUAAAAAGUUUAUUAUUCUCUCCUAAAUUUCCCAUCCAAAUUUAUUUUUCUCACAAAUCUAUCUUAUUAUUGAUGUAUGUUGUUCUAAUCCGGGGCAUCGCACAGUCAAGCGUACUAUCCUGCCACGCUACAUGAUUGAGCAUGUCUUUCGCAUGCCAUCCAC
rnacentral:lncRNA from 1 species